AGGUGUGAUCAUACCAGCAGUAAUGCACUGGAUCACAUCAGAACUCCGCAGUUUAAGCGUGGUUGGGCGAGAGUAGUACUAGGAUGGGUGACUUGGUCAGAAGUCCUCGUGUUGCACCCC
rnacentral:rRNA from 1 species